rnacentral:rRNA from 1 species
GACGAACGCUGGCGGCGUGCUUAACACAUGCAAGUCGAACGGUAAGGCCCUUCGGGGUACACGAGUGGCGAACGGGUGAGUAACACGUGGGUGAUCUGCCCUGCACUUCGGGAUAAGCCUGGGAAACUGGGUCUAAUACCGGAUAGGACCACUGCCUGCAUGGGUGGUGGUGGAAAGCUUUUGCGGUGUGGGAGGGGCCCGCGGCCUAUCAGCUUGUUGGUGGGGUGAUGGCCUACCAAGGGGACGACGGGUAGCCGGCCUGGGAGGGCGACCGGCCACACGGGGACUGAGCUACGGCCCAGACUCCUACGGGAGGCAGCAGUGGGGAAUAUUGCACAAUGGGCGCAAGCCUGAUGCAGCGACGCCGCGUGAGGGAUGACGGCCUUCGGGUUGUAAACCUCUUUCAGCACCGACGAAGCGCAAGUGACGGUAGGUGCAGAAGAAGGACCGGCCAACUACGUGCCAGCCGCCGCGGUAA